ensembl:misc_RNA Metazoa_SRP Metazoan signal recognition particle RNA
GCUGGGCGUGGUGGUGCACGCCUGUAAUCCCAGCUAGUUGGGAGGCUGAGGCAGGAGAAUCGCUUGAGCCUGGGAGGCAGAGGUUGCAGUGAGCCAAGAUCGUGCCCCUGCACUUCAGCCUGGGCGACACAGCGAGACUCAGUCUCAA